GAUGAACGCUGGCGGGCAGGCUUAAUACAUGCAAGUUGAACGGUAACAUGUUGUAGCAAUACGAUGAUGACGAGUGGCGCACGGGUGCGUAACACGUGUGUAACCUACCUUAUACAGGAACAUAACGUUGAGAAAUCGGCGCUAACAUUCCAUAAUAUUAUUUGUAGGCAUCUAUGAAUAAUUAAAACUACCGGUGGUAUAAGAUGGGCACGCGUUCCAUUAGCUAGUUGGUAAGGUAACGGCUUACCAAGGCAACGAUGGAUAGGGGUUCUGAGAGGAUAAUCCCCCACCACUGGAACUGAGACACGGUCCAGACUCCUACGGGAGGCAGCAGUAAGGAAUAUUGGGCAAUGGAGGCAACUCUGACCCAGCCAUGCCGCGUGCAGGAAGACGGCCCUAUGGGUUGUAAACUGCUUUUAAUAGGGAUUAAAGUCGACUACGUGUAGUUGUUUGCAAGUACCUAUAGAAUAAGCAUCGGCUAACUCCGUG
rnacentral:rRNA from 1 species